UCCCUCCUUUCCUCAUCAGUUAUUAAUAUUUUUCAAUUUUCUAUAUCCUUAACCAGCCAAGCCUCUUUAUUGAAUACUGCCCUAUGGGUUGUAAACCUCUUUUGUCUUAUAACAAAACCCGGGACGUGUCCCGGACUGCGUGUAUCCGAAGAAAAAGCAUCGGCUAACUCCGUGCCAGCAGCCGCGGUAAUACGGAGGAUGCGAGCGUUAUCCGGAUUUAUUGGGUUUAAAGGGUGCGUAUGCUUUCCUUUAAGUCAGCGUGAAAAUUGCGGGGCUCAACCCCGUCGAGCCGUUGAAACUGGCAG
rnacentral:rRNA from 1 species